UUCACAUUUGCAUCUUAAGUUUCUUUACUAUUGAAUAUAUAGUAGAUGGCUUUAAAUAACAUUCUUCUCAUUGUCUUUUGUCCCUUUUUGGGGCAGGAGGGAAAACAUGGAUUCAUGGACAAAAAUAUGUAUAUAUUCUGCGCAAAAUCAUUGAAGGUGUCCUUGAAUCUGUAUGCUAGGAUACAGGAUGAACACAGAUCCUCUAAUCCUCUCUUUACUGUUGCAGGUGUUCGGGUGCUGUGGUUUGCUGAGGGUAACUUAACAAAUCCAUUACUUUUGUUGCCUGGAAGCAUUCCAGUGGAAGAAGUUGUGGCUAGUACUAUGUGGUAAAUUGCACCCAAAAGUUAGAAUCACAGAAUAACAAGUCUCUUGCCUUAAAUCUUAUUUUUAUCCAAAGUUCUGGAAUGAAUCAGGUAUUGAUUCACUUGACAGUACUGCAUACCUACUAUGUGCCAGACAUUGUACUUUUACAUAUGCAAAUUGUGUAAAUUAUGUGUGCAUAAUCAAGCCACACUAGCAUACACGUUUUAUAAAUUCUAGCUAAAAUAUUCCCAGGGUUUAUUUUCCACCUUGCCUUUGUCUUACAGCCAAGCUUGCAUAAUUUUUUUUUUAUUUUGAAAUAUAUUGAAUGGGAUUUAUACACGGGGUUUCUUUGUCAUUGGUCAUGAAAUCAUGGACUUCUAGAGUUGCUUCCGAGGCUGCAGUUGUUGUGGAGGAAAGAAAUGCCCAUUAAUAAGUCCUCUCCAACUCUAACUAGAAACUCUGUUUUGAUCCUUUUUACAAACUGUGUUUUUUUAAAAUAAGAUUUCAUUUGAAAAAGGAAGUCUGUAAACUUUGAUGUAUAACUUGAUAACUCACUGAGUGGUACAUAAACCUGUAUGGACCACUUCCAGUUGUACCUGAGAUGUUUAUUUUAAAAAGCUGAACCUGAGGUAUCCUCUUCCUCCCUAAAGCAACUGAAACAGAUUCCCUGAGCAAUAGGCCUGUGAAAAUAUGUUUUAAACAUGAAUUCUUAUGUACAUUAAAUUUAGUAAUUUUGUAUGAAAUUAUUUUAUAUACAAAGGAGUAUAUUAAACUUACGUGCAUCAAAGACUAAUAACCCUUUGCCCACUAUUCAGCUUAAAAGACAGAAAAUUAUUAGCUUCUUUGAGACCAAUCAUUUGUCCCUCCAGAAUCUUAUCCUUUCUUUCCUUAUUCCCUAAGUAGCCAUUAUCAUGAAUCUUCUGUGAAUCAUUCUCUUUUUUUUAGAGUUUUACUCUGUAUGAUUAAACAAAUGCAUUGCUUGAUUUUUGCCAGCGUUUGGCAACAUGGAAUUGUGCUCUAUGUAUUAUUUUGUUACCUGCCCCUUUUUGGGUAAGUUUAUGAGAUUCAUCUAUGUGGAUGUGUAUACUUAUGGUUGAUAUGUAUACCAUUUAUGUAUAUUGUAAUCCAGGUACGAAUAUUCCAGAAUUAUCCACUUUCCUGUUUGUGGACUUCAGUAGUUUCAGUUUUUCCUCUCACAAACAAUACUGCUGUAAAUAUUUCUGUAACAAAUCUCAUAGUUGUGAAAAAGUUAUGGUUAUAUAUUUAGGCUCUAUUCCAGGAUAUAUACCCAUGUAUAAAAUUACCAGGUUAUAGGUGCAAGUUCAAAUUUACUAGUUGAUUCCAACUUUUCUCCAAUAUGGUUGUAUCAGAUAUCAAAAUAUAAGAAAUUCUGUAGAUUUAAUUGAUUUUAACUAGAUUAUUACACCUGUUUCCAAGAAAACAUGGGAGAUUGUGAAUGGCACAGUUCUGUUUGCAUUACAUGGUUAAAGCCUUCUCAGAGUCCUGUUCUUGCCUUGCCUAUACGUGGUUAAAGCCAAGGGCUUAAACUUAAAGUUUUAAAAAUCUAGAUGUGGAAGCUUCAGCUUGAGACCUUUACCAUCUCACCUUCUACUUAUUAGUAUUGUCUUUGGCUUCUCUGUACAUUGGUGAAAAUUCAUUUCUUCUCUAAACUAGGAAGUAGUGAAGGUGGCUCACGGUUUUGUGUAAGCUGGGUUUCUCAAGUCUAAAUCCCUGAAAAUACUGUAAUCCUCAUAGUGGCCAUCUACACGCUUCAAACUAAAUAAUAUGUCUUGGGCAGCCCGGGUGUCUCAAGCGGUUUAGCGCUGCCUUCAGCCCAGGGCCUGAUCCUGGAGAUCAGGGAUCGAGUCCCACAUCGAGUCCCACAUCAGCUCCCUGCAUGGUGCCUUCUUCUCCUUCUGCCUCUCUCUCUCUCUCUCUCUCUCUCUCUCUCUCUCUCUCUGUGUCUCAUGAAUAAAUAAAUAAAAUAUUUUUAAAAACCA
rnacentral:lncRNA from 1 species